AGAGUUUGAUCCUGGCUCAGGACAAACGCUGGCGGCGUGCUUAACACAUGCAAGUCGAACGGUCCUCGCUUCGGUGAGGAUAGUGGCGGACGGGUGAGUAACACGUAGAUGACCUGCCCUUGUGUGGGGAAUAACUACGCGAAAGCGUGGCUAAUACCGCAUACGUUCUCUCUCGUCCGGAGAGAGAAGAAACCUGGCUCCUGUCAAAAGGGCUGGGGCACGAGGAGGGGUCUGCGGCGGAUUAGCUAGUUGGUGGGGUAACGGCUCACCAAGGCGACGAUCCGUAGCUGGUCUGAGAGGACGGCCAGCCACACUGGGACUGAGACACGGCCCAGACUCCUACGGGAGGCAGCAGUGAGGAAUAUUCCACAAUGGGCGCAAGCCUGAUGGAGCGACGCCGCGUGCGGGAAGAAGGCUUUCGGGUUGUAAACCGCUUUUGUUGGGGAUGAUACUCGGGGGGAUAAUACUCCCCCGAUAAGACAGUACCCGACGAAUAAGCCUCGGCUAACUACGUGCCAGCAGCCGCGGUAAUACGUAGGAGGCGAGCGUUGUCCGGAUUUACUGGGCGUAAAGCGCGCGCAGGCGGCACUUCAAGUAAGGUGUGAAAUCUCCCUGCUCAACGGGGAGGGUGCACUUUAGACUGAGGAGCUAGAGGACGGUAGAGGGGGGUGGAAUUGCUGGUGUAGCGGUGAAAUGCGUAGAGAUCAGCAGGAACACCCGUGGCGAAGGCGGCCCCCUGGGCCGUACCUGACGCUGAGGCGCGAAGGCUAGGGGAGCGAACGGGAUUAGAUACCCCGGUAGUCCUAGCAGUAAACGAUGGCCACUAGGUGUGGGGGGUGUUGACCCCUUCCGUGCCGAAGCUAACGCAUUAAGUGGCCCGCCUGGGGAGUACGGUCGCAAGACUAAAACUCAAAGGAAUUGACGGGGACCCGCACAAGCAGCGGAGCGUGUGGUUUAAUUCGAUGCGACGCGAAGAACCUUACCAAGGCUUGACAUGCACUCGCAAUCCUCCGAAAAGAGGCCCUCCUUCGGGACGGGUGCACAGAUGUUGCGUGGCUGUCGUCAGCUCGUGUCGUGAGAUGUUGGGUUAAGUCCCGCAACGAGCGCAACCCUCGUCCUUAGUUGACUAUCUAGGGAGACCGCCGGAAACAAACCGGAGGAAGGUGGGGAUGACGUCAAGUCAGCAUGACUCUUACGUCUUGGGCUACACACACGCUACAAUGGCCGUUACAGCGAGAAGCCAGCCCGCGAGGGUGAGCAGACCUCUGAAAGGCGGCCCCAGUUCAGAUUGCACUCUGCAACCCGAGUGCAUGAAGGCGGAGUUGCUAGUAACCGCGUGUCAGCAUAGCGCGGUGAAUAUGUUCCCGGGUCUUGUACACACCGCCCGUCACGUCAUGGGAGCCGGCAAUACCUGAAGUCCGUGAGCUAACUCUUCCCUUGUGGAACGAGAGGCAGCGGCCGAGGGUAGGGCUGGUGACUGGGACGAAGUCGUAACAAGGUAACCGUA
rnacentral:rRNA from 1 species